rnacentral:rRNA from 1 species
GACGUAGGGCGCGAGCGUUGUCCGGAUUUAUUGGGCGUAAAGAGCUCGUAGGCGGCUUGUCGCGUCGACUGUGAAAUCCCGCGGCUCAACUGCGGGUCUGCAGUCGAUACGGGCAGGCUAGAGUUCGGUAGGGGAGACUGGAAUUCCUGGUGUAGCGGUGAAAUGCGCAGAUAUCAGGAGGAACACCGGUGGCGAAGGCGGGUCUC